rnacentral:rRNA from 1 species
UACGUAGGGUGCAAGCGUUGUCCGGAAUUAUUGGGCGUAAAGAGCUUGUAGGCGGUUUGUCGCGUCUGCUGUGAAAUUUCGGGGCUCAACCCCCGAACUUGCAGUGGGUACGGGCAGACUAGAGUGUGGUAGGGGAGACUGGAAUUCCUGGUGUAGCGGUGAAAUGCGCAGAUAUCGGGAGGAACACCAAUGGCGAAGGCAGCUUGCUGGGACGGUACUGACGCUGAGACGCGAAAGCGUGGGGAGCAAACAGG